rnacentral:rRNA from 1 species
UACAGAGGAUGCAAGCGUUAUCCGGAAUGAUUGGGCGUAAAGCGUCUGUAGGUGGCUUUUUAAGUCCGCCGUCAAAUCCCAGGGCUCAACUCUGGACAGGCGGUGGAAACUACCAAGCUGGAGUACGGUAGGGGCAGAGGGAAUUUCCGGUGGAGCGGUGAAAUGCGUAGAUAUCAGUCGGAACACCGGUGGCGAAGGCGGCUUCUUGGGCCCUACCUGACGCUGAGGCGCGAAAGCCAGGGGAGCGAACGGG